UACAGAGGUCUCAAGCGUUGUUCGGAUUCAUUGGGCGUAAAGGGUGCGUAGGUGGGGUGGUAAGUCAGUGGUGAAAUCUCCGAGCUUAACUUGGAAACUGCCAUUGAUACUAUCAUUCUUGAAUAUUGUGGAGGUCAGCGGAAUAUGUCAUGUAGCGGUGAAAUGCUUAGAUAUGACAUAGAACACCAAUUGCGAAGGCAGCUGGCUACACAUAUAUUGACACUGAGGCACGAAAGCGUGGGGAUCAAACAGG
rnacentral:rRNA from 1 species